UGAGGAAUAUUGGUCAAUGGGCGAGAGCCUGAACCAGCCAAGUCGCGUGAAGGAUGAAGGUUCUAUGGAUUGUAAACUUCUUUUGUAAGGGAAUAAAAAGAGCUACGUGUAGUUUAUUGUAUGUACUUUACGAAUAAGGAUCGGCUAACUCCGUGCCAGCAGCCGCGGUAAUACGGAGGAUCCAAGCGUUAUCCGGAUUUAUUGGGUUUAAAGGGCGCGUAGGCGGAUCUUUAAGUCAGUGGUGAAAGUUUGCGGCUCAACCGUAAAAUUGCCAUUGAAACUGAAGAUCUUGAGUGCAAAUGAGGUAGGCGGAAUGUGUUGUGUAGCGGUGAAAUGCUUAGAUAUAACACAGAACCCCGAUUGCGAAGGCAGCUUACUGGGAUGCAACUGACGCUGAGGCGCGAAAGCGUGGGGAUCAAACA
rnacentral:rRNA from 1 species